rnacentral:rRNA from 1 species
CCUACGGGUGGCUGCAGUAGGGAAUCUUCCGCAAUGGACGAAAGUCUGGCGGAGCAACGCCGCGUGAGCGAAGAAGGUCUUCGGACCGUAAAGCUCUUUUGUUAGGGAAGAACAAGUACGGGAGGAAAGGACCUUACCUUGACGGUACCAAACGAGGAAGCAAGGGCUAACAACGUGCCAGCGGCCGCGGUAAUACGUAGGUGGCAAGCGUUGUCCGGAAUUAUGGGGCGUAAAGCGGGCGCAGGCGGUCUUUUAAGUCUGAUGUGAAAUCUUGCGGCUCAACCGCAAGCGGUCAUUGGAAACUGGGAGACUUGAGUGCAGAAGAGGAAAGCGGAAUUCCACGUGUAGCGGUGAAAUGCGUAGAGAUCGGGAAGAACACCAGUGGCGAAGGCGGCCUGCUGGGCUUUAACUGACGCUGAGGCACGAAAGCGUGGGUAGCAAACAGGAUUAGAUACCCGAGUAGUC